rnacentral:lncRNA from 1 species
AGCAGAUGGAUAUGUUCAAGGAAGAGAGUUCUAAUGGAGGACGAACUCGCAAUGAGUACAGCCUACUUAAUAAUACAGCAGAUGAGAAAGGAUGGGAAGUAAUCCAGGAAACAUCACCUCUCUCUAACCGGAGAGAGCCGAGAGUGACGUAACCUCAACGGGACUGAGCAAGGUGCAGUGCUCAAGCAGAGUCAGCAUGUCUCUCCGUCUCAGAUCCCCAGAGAAGAAACUACCCUAGCUGAAGUCAGAGCCGAUAUAAAGCUGUGCCUACAAACGUUGUCUUCUAACCGUACAGGAGAGUAGACUGGCAUUGGAAUAAGGAUGAAGGUGCUGUUUUGGAUAAAUGCUCCCCAAAGUCCACAAAGUGUUCCAUGUCUGGCCAGCAGCCUUUGGCACUAUUAGAAUCUGGUGGUACUUUAAAAACUGGGACCUAGCAGAGGAAGCAUCGUCACUGGGUGCCUGCCCUAGAGGGAAUGCUUGGAGCCCAGCCUCUCUUCUUCCUGGCUGCUGUGAGAUGAGUGCUUCCUUUUCCUGGUGCCCUUGUGCCUAUGGCCUGCUUCACUGCAGGGCCAAAAAAACAUGGGCUAAAACCUCCAAAACCGUAAAGAAGAUAUGCUUUUAAAACUGACUUAGUAAGCCUGAGGGGGCCUGAGUGCAGGCCUUUGAUGGCAGCACUCGAGAGGCAGAAGCAGGGGGAUCUCUGAGUUCUAGGCCAGCCAGGUCUACAGAGCAAUUUCCGAGAUAGCUGAGGCUACACAGAAAAGGCCUGCCUUGAAAAAAUUAAACAAAACAAAACAAAACAAACCUGAUAUAUCUCCGGUAUUUGUUACGCUGCCAGAAAUCUGACCCCCACAGAGAAGUAUUCCAGAGGGUUGAGGGGACCGGGCAGUUUUGUACUGAAAGACAACUUACUAGAUGUUUGUUCUAAAGACAAAAAUGUAAAUAACUACACUGCAAUUUCACAAGGAAUGAUGAGACUAUGAAGAAACUAGGUGAGUACAUUUCAGGCAAGAAGGAAAGGCGUUUCCACUGCAGAGGCCUCAGGGCCACUUCAUGGGGAAAGGCAAUGCUUGGGUCUUAAUUAUCGGUUGCACCAGACCUAUAGCCCCCCCACACACACA